rnacentral:lncRNA from 1 species
AGACAGACAGAUGGAAGAGAAAGCAUGCAGCGGAGAGGAGGAGAAACAAAGCGUGUUGACUGAGGAAGUGUGCAUGCCAUGCGGGCCAUGUGCUCGUCUACGUCCCAGCUCGCCGACUCUCGCCGCUCUGAGACUCACUGCAGCUUCUCCUGCUCAAGUCUCCCACUUUUCACUCUAAGGUAGGACCGUCUUUACUUGUUCCUGUGUGUUUCAAAGAGUUUGUUUCGCCUCUUUUCUCGCCUUUUUCCACCUUUUUUUUUUUUUUCACCCCAUGCUGUGCUGCUUUUUUUUUUUGUUGGGUUUGAUGAUGCCAGAGUGAGAAAAAGUUUGAGCUUUGUUUUAAAUGCUGCAUGAUUUGAUUUUGCAAAAGCACAAAAUGUUGAAUUUCACAUGUUGAAUUCAUGCAAAAAAAAAAAAAAAAACUGUGGUGCAAUUUAGUCAAUGUUGGCAGGUCUGGCUGUUUGUUGCCAUGUGUGUGUUGGUGUGUGUGUGUGUGUGUGUGAGUGAGUGUUUGUGUGGUGGUCUGGUAUACUGGUAGAAUAUUGGCAGGACUGAGGAAUGUGUGAGAUCUCUUUGUUCCCUCUCUCUCUUUCCCUCUCUCUCUCUCAUUUUCUUCUUUUUUCUCUCUGGGGUUGCACACACACACACCACACACACACACACACACACACACACACACACACUCUCUUACACACACAUACACACACAUGCAGUCAAACCAACUCUUGCAGAAAACCAGUUGAAACUUCCCACCGGCAGGAGAGAAAUGUCUGGAAUGUGAUUAUCACGUAUUUGUGUUUAUUUUAUCACUGCGGGUCGCUCGCAAAGCAAAGAGGAAACCAGAUCAGGCGCGUGCACGUCACUUAGCGUGCAAUAAUGUGUGUGUAUGUGUGUGUUCAUGUGUGUGCGUGGUGCUGGUGGGUGGGUGGGUGGGUUGGGAGGGGACAGGGUAGGAGGGUAAAGAGUGAGAGCUAUUUGGCAGUGCACGUGAGUGUGUGGGUGGUUGUGUGGGUGUCAGGGUGAGUGGGUGCAGAGCUCUUUGAGUGAGAGCACAUGUGACUCUGAGUGUGUGUGGGUGUUGAAUGUGUGUCUGUGUGCGUGCACAGAAAGGUGAAAAGUAUGUGUGUGCAAAGGUAAGGUGAUUGUGUGUUUCCGAGUCUACCUUUGCAUCAAACGGAGGCAGAGGAAAGACAAAAAAAAAACUACUCCUCUUUCCAAAACCUUUUGCUGUCCCUCUUUCUUUCUUUCUCUUACAUGCACACACACACACAUGUACACACACAUGCACACACGCAAGGUUCAGGCGCCUGUCAAACCCAGUGCAUUCCUGAGAGCUCGAACACACGGAGUCUGAAUGGUGGGAUGAAUGCGGGGAAAUUCAGCUGAAACGUGAGGACAAAAGCCAGGGGGACAUUUAAGAGGGUUUAACUCGGCAGAACCCUGGGAAUCAGGGAGGAAACACACACACACUAAAACACACACGGAAACACACAUGCACGCUUGCAUUAGCGCAUGCCUGCACGUGCACUGAAAUGAACUGUGUAUACAUCUCGACACACACACACAUAUGUACAGCUGCGGCUCCAACAGGCUGUUAGAGCCGGGAACGGAGGGGAAUUCCCAGGGAGGAGACAGUGAAAACACACACUGCACCUCUGAAUGUACACACACACACACACAUACACAUGCACACACACACACACACAAAGGCCCAAGAAGCCAACACACUGCGCUGCAGGUAUCUCUGCAGUCCAUUAGUAAACCAUCGAGUUUCACGGCGAGCUGAAGAAUAAAAUCCUCAGAAAUGUGCAAAAAAAAAGUCAUGAAUUCUCUGAGACGUUUAAAGCUUUACAUGUCAACUUAAAAGCUUUUUAAAUCACAAAUACACACAUUUUUAAAACAACCUAAAACACUCUUUUAUCCACGUUAAAAAGAUUGCACAAAUCCCCUUUAAUGUGGAGCUUUACGAUGUUUUCAGUCAUCAUAUCAAAAAUCUUCCUUGCUGGUCUUUCAAUAAUGCACCACGUCAGGUUUUUAUUCAUUUAAUAUACCAUUCCUUAGAGUGAUGUCUCCUUUUUCUGUGUGCGGUUAUGAUUCAGCCGAGGUUUUAAAAGAAAAAAAAGCGGCAGGUGUUAAAAAGGUGUUCUGAUAAUGCCAAAUUUUGACAUUUCUCCAAAUCUUAAAAGCCUGAACCCGCCUGAGAGGAGCUCUUACGCCGCCGCACUGAAACUGACUGGUUUCCAAAAUGAAUUUGCACUUUAAGAACCAAAUUGAUGCAGAUUACCUGAGAGAGAUUUUCUACUUUUCCCUGUUGAAGAGAAAUUCAGUCCCUGUCCAGCUUUAAUAAACCACCUGGAAUUCCCUGAAGGACCUUUAAAGACUCCAGGAACUGCUUUGGGAACCUUUUUAAGUGCACACAGCAAAGAGGGGGGGGAAGUGCAUCUCAUUGUGUGCAGGAUUUUUCUUUUACAGUUGAAAAGCGUCAUUUUUGUUGCUCUAAUUUCGUAGAUUUGAUUGCUAUAAUCUUCUCGAUUUUCUGAAAAUAAAGGGACUUACUUGUGAAUUACUUAUUUAAAAAAACACCUUUUGGAUUUUGUUUUUCUCAUCUGCAUCUUUGCAGAAACAAAGGAAGUCUGAUUUUUUUCAAUGACAUGAAGGUGUAACAGCUGUUUCGCAAAUGCACCUGGACAGCUUGCGAAAGACCGCCUAGAAAUUUCUUAAGGACCCUAAAAGGUUCCAGGAACCUGCUUGGAGAUCCUUUUUUUAAUUGCACCGCCUGCAAGACAGAAACUGCGAAGAAAAAAAUCCAUUUAGAGCCGAGAAGAAGGAGUUUUCUUUCUCAAAAUUUACAGCUGAAGUUUGUGAAAUUGUUUUCAUUUUUGAGAGAGAAUAAAAAUUAAGUCGCCUCAUAGAUCACUCUCUGGAUUGGACAGUUUUAAGAUCGAUACAUCAUUUGUGGUUCACCAGGAAAGAAAGCAAGAUCUUUUUGUCAGUAAUUAGAAACCGAAUGAUGGAAUUCUGCACCUGCUCAGUUUGAUAAAGUCUCCAUGGAUAUUUCUGAAGGACUCUAAAAGGUUCCAGGAACCUGACUCGAGAUCGGUCGUGAUUGCACGACACCAGAAACCGAAAAUGUGCAUCGAAUUGUGUGAAGAUUUUGCAGCAAAGUUGCAUCUUUAAUUAAAGAAAUCAUCGACAUUUAUGGAAAAAUGACAAAAGAAUCAAACUGUUUGAUUUUUGCUGUUUUGUCACUGACGAUAAUUCCUAUUUGCGACUAGAAAGACAAGGAAAUCUUUCUGUUUUCAAUAAAAGCCACUUCAGUUGGUUCACCAAUAAUGAAAUUCAGCACCUGCUCAACCCUCAAGGACCCUAAAAGGUUCCUGGAACCUUUCUUUGGAUGCCUUUUCAUUGCACAGCAUGAAAAACCGAGAUUGAGCAUCAGAUUGUGUGAGGAGGUGAAGUCAGAAGCGUUAAUGAAGGGUUAGAAAAUAUGAGAUUGGUUGAGUAAAUGUUGCACCGUCAGUUUUCUAAAUCGUCCAGACCUAGAGGAGAAUUUAAAAGGAUUCGAUUUUGCUGUUUUUAAAGGAUUUGUUAUUAAAUCUGCGUCUUUAUCUCUGACUUUAAAGUGAAAGUUUGUGUCUCAGGUUUAGAUUCCAUCAGGUGUUUGUCUGAAAAUCUGGAUGUAAGUGGACAUUAGAGGUCAACCUUCCUCUCUGCCUCCUGCAUGCUCUAAGUGGGGGGUCAGGGGAUAUUUGUUCUGACCUGAAAUCAACUUCAGAACGAUAGAGCCGCAGAAUCAGAUGCCCCUCUGCUGAGAAACAAGAAGGGAAACACCUGGGAUUAUCCCCAAUCUGUGCAGCUUUUGCAUGUUUCAGAUUGAGCUGAUCUGCUGUCUGUGUGUGUCUGUGUGUGUGUGUGUGUGUGUGUGUGAUGGAAAAAGUGAUGAGUAAUACUCGGGGAUCUUGACGCUCAGUUCAUGUUCAGUUUGGCGCAUAAUUGAUUCAGCUUGAUCUGGUUUAUGGAGCUGAAAAUGAGACAAAAAGCAUGUGAGCGAUUUCCUGAUUUUACGCUCCAGUCACGAGAGUCGAUGAUGAUGAUUGGAGAGUCGAAUUAAAGGUCAGGUUGUGAUUUUCAAGAUGGUUCAGGUGAAUUUGAUGCAGUGAAAAGGUCACGAAUCAUGUGAGGUAAUUAAGGGUGGAGAAAAAAUGUGAUAAAACGCAGCUUUCAUGAGGAGAACCUGACGUUAUUUCGCCGAUAACCUGCGUCUGAAAGGGUUAAAUGAAUCUGGUCAUGAGAUUUACAGAAAGACAUUUGAUUGAAGAUAUUUCUGGGAAGUUUAGGUUGAAGAAAAAGUACCCAUCCCAAAUACCAGAAAGUGAGGUCAUAAGUGAGGCGAUAAGAGAAAGAGUGGGCACAGUAAUUUAUUCAGGGAAUUUCACAAUAUGAAGCAGCGAGCGAGCGGCUGAUAUUGUCAGCGAGCUGCAGAGAGCUCAUAAAGCUGCUCAGACCUGUGCCGCCGCCGCCGCCGCCCAGCCCGAGAAUCAAACAAGAAGAAGCCGAGAAAACAGAAGUUAAUUUCCCAGACUGCUGCAGAGAGUCACUCUGAGAAAAACUGAGAGUGAUGAGGUCUGCACGAGGAAGAGGAGGAGGAGGAGCAGGUGAGCAAGAACAAGAACCUCGAAUUUAUACUAAUGUAGAUGCAUGAGUUUGAGUUUCAGCAGGUACAAUCCCUCUGCAGGUGUAUUUCCCCACAGGGAGAUGAGAUAGAGAGGCAUCAGUCCAGAUAUGAUGAGAGAGCGUUUCACAUUCACUGUUCACUCACAACCGACUCAAAAUACAAGAAUAAAGAGAGAGUCUGAAGAAUUUAAGUUUCCACGCUGCUUCAGUUUGAUGUUUUCUUCAUCAGAUUGGUAAAAAUAGCUUUUCUUACAUUCAUGUUUUUGUUAAAAAAUAAAGCAAUAAGGGAGAAAAGGAUGUUUCUUUUUAAACGGUUUCAUAAAAAUGCACAAUUCUGGCAUUUCUGCAGCUUUUAAAAGCCUCAAAUCAUCUGCGAGAAGCUUUUUAAACCAGAGAGAGGUUCAGAAACGAGCAUUUAAAACACCAAAUGGAUUCAGGUGAUUUCAGAUCUGCAUGAGAAGGAAGGAAGGAAGGAAAUCUCUCUGUUCACUCACCUGUUGAGCCUCAAGUGAAUUUCAGCUUGAGAAGGACCUGCUUACAGAAAUGUGUUUGUAUCCUGUGAAAAAAAUGAAUAAAGAAAUGAUUAUUAAUAACCAUGAAGAGUGAAAGUUGUUCUGUAUAUGAAGCUGCUUCAGUUAUUAAAAUCAGAGGAUUAGAAGGUGGAAUAACGGAGAGGAAAAAUGAACAUUCGCCUGCCAUAAAAUGAUGUUUCUGAGGGGUGAAUUAUUCCCUUUAGCCUCUUCAAAUGUGACAGAAAAGAAUAAAGUCUUUAAUUAUCAAGAGCAAAAAUUAGAGGUAUAAAUGUAAAAGAAAAAUGCUGUAGUUAUCCAGCAAAUCCUGCAGCUCUAAAUCUUAAAAUCAUCAAAUUUUGAUCAAACACAGAAGAUUUGUUUCAGUCUAAAACUCUCAGUUUUUGCUUUUUCUGCAGGAUUUUUUAACUCUUAUCUAAAAGUUUUGUCUCUUUAAUUUGCAUGAAUGAAAUGUGCAUAAUUGGAGUGGACUCUGCUUCACUGAAUUAACGUGUUUCUGCUGUAAAAGCACAAAUUUAGACAGGAGUUUCGUUUUUUUUCUCCAUAAUAAUUAAAUUCGGGACUUUCUCUUUAAGUCGUGCUCUCUGCUUCAUCAUUUCCCUCUUUUAUUCCCCUCUGUCAUUCUUCACCUCUCUCGGAGUUGUCACAGUCUUUACUGCACUCAGACUCUCCGCGGGCGCACCGGGCGCACCGGGGACGGUCCCCGCAGCGUGGGGGGGCGACACGAGGAAGUAGAGAGGGAGGGGAGGGGGGGUUCUUUCUUGCGGGUAGACUGAGGCUGACUCUGGGGACGGAGCUGCGGCCGACUGCCGCAGGUUUUGGGGGAACCAGCUUCUCACUCUGAGGUCGCCGGGGCAUUUCCGAGCGAUCCGGGGUAAAACCCGGCUGACACACAGAGACAAAACAGAGAGAGAGAGAGAAAGAGAGAGAGAGUGAAAGAGAGAGAGAGAGCGAGAGAGAUCAGGGCACAAACAGCCUCAGAAACAUCGAUCCUCCUCCUCCUCUCUUCUGCAGAUAUCUGCGGCUGUCUGAGCUCGUUUCACGGACACUUUUACGCGCAGCUCUCGGUGAUGUUUGAUUUGGUCUUUUGUGUUUCUGUGCGCAGAGGACAAAACCAGGAGAGCUGACUGAGCCUGCACACGGGGGAAGGUGUCUGGAAAAAGGGAGCUGAUUUUCUCCUGCAACUUCUAAAUCCAAUGGCAGCGACACCGAAGAACACAGGUAACACAUUUAUAUUCUUAUCCGUGAUUUUAACACAGAUUUGAACAUUUUUAAGAGACACUUUUACGCCUUAAAAUCAUCCAAAAUUUCUGCUCCAAAUCAGAGAACUGUUGAUGCAUGUUUCUAUAUCAUAUUCCUAAAUUUGACUUUAUCACUGUCGGUGUGUUUGAGUUGUGUUGGCGUUGUUUGUGCGUUCCUGCAGCAGUGUGUGUGUGUGUGUGUGUGUGUGUGUGGUGAGACUGUUGAACAUGGCAUUGCAACAGUGUGUGGUCUCCUCCAGCUCUGGCAAGACUAUUGUGCACUCUUCACGUGCGCAUUUGUUCGUGCGCGUGCUUGCUUGUUGGUGUGUGUGAGAGAGAGAAAAGAGAGAGAGAGAGAGAGAAAAGAGAGGGAGGGAGGGGGGGAGAGGAGGAAUGUGAGUCGGGCUGGAGGAAAUUCUUGUGUUUUGGAAUGCGUUUACCCCGGGGGGAGACCCCGUGACUCCGGGAGAGAGAGAGAGAGAGAGAGAGAGAGAGAGAGAGAGAGAGAGAGAGAGAGAGAGAGAGAGACAGGGGUGUGAUUGCAUGGCUUUCUAAGAAAUAAUUGAAUCAUUGGUGUUAUGCUGUUUCAUGCAAGUCUCAUGCAAAUGCAGUGACAGUGAAUAUUUCAUGAUGAACAUUUUUGCAUAUUUUUAUGAUCAUUUCUCUCUCUCUGAGGAAGAGGACUAUAAUUAAAACCAUGCACGCUCACUUUCACACACACACACACACACACACACACACAGCGGCUCUGCAUCCAACAGGGGGAGCUUGUGACACAUGGAGCUGGAAAAUCAGUUAUUAAUGUGACACUAAUAUCAGCCUUCAAUUUCACAUGCGUUAACAAAGAGACAGUCAUUUCUUUUAGCAAAACACUCCGUGAAAAGUGGAUGAAAGGGCAGCUCAGACUUGCUUCCCCCUCGGUUCUUGGCAGAUUCUGCGUCUUUUAAAAUGGGACAUAGAUUUUAAAAAAUGUCAAAAAGUGCGUCUUAAAAAUAUGAAACAAAUGCACAUUUCAGAGGCAGACAUAGUCUAUGAUAAGAGCUGGAUUUAGCAGCUUUCUUUCUGCAGAACAUGCUGGACGUCUCCUACCUUGCAUUAAAGAAUACAUGCACGGUAGUAUUUUGGGAAAUUCAUCUAAAAUAUGUUAAAAUUUAUCUAUUUUAAAUCUCUUUUAGGCGAAGAUGUUUUGCACAUUUCAGAGGCAGACAUAGUCUAUGAUAAGAGCUGGAUUUAGCAGAAUGGUGAUUUCUUUCUGCAGAAUAUGCUGGACGUCUCUUACCUUGCGUUAAAGAAUACAUGCACAUGUUAGUAUUUGGAGAAAUUCAUGUAAAAAAUGUUAAAAUAUAUCUAUUUUUAAUCUCUUUUAGGUGUUAAAGGUGUUUUGCACAUUUCCAAAAUAUCACUCAAGCAAUAUUACCGCAAGGCGUCGACAAAAAGAGCAUUUUAAGUUCAUAUUAUUAACAAACAAACAAGAUUAAAUCAAGUUUCUGCCAACUUCCUCCAACAGGCAGAAACCCCGAGCAGAACCAGACUGAAAUCUCCCCCCCAAACUCGUACGAACUCGCUGGAUUCGGAUCAUUUAGCACGUAAAGAAGGAGACAUUUCUAAAAGCAUUAGAGGAAACUUCUCCCUGAAGUCUAAAUGAUGAAUUUUUGGAGAUGCUGUGAUGCUCAGCAGGAACUCGCCGCCUCGCUCUGAUGUGUCGCACAGUCAGAACAGAAAGCAUCCAUCACUCUGAAUGUGCUCUGCUAAAAUCAAGUGUUAUAUUGUGAAGUAUUCAGACAGUCACAUGGCUGUAAACACAUGCACACACACACACACACACACACACACACACACACACACACACACACACACACACACGCGCGACUGUUGCAGAUGAUGUAUUCGUUUUAAAAAGCCGACAGUGUUUAUCAUUCCCUGCUCUUAAAACUUGCACAGAAGUUGUUUUUUUUUUGGAUGUAAGCGUUCACCGGACAGACUGGGGUUAGAGUCCCGGUUGGUAUUGGACAGAGAAGAGUGUUUCUGGAACAGCGCUGCAGACUAAAAGCUCGCCCACACACAAAUGUGAGAUAUUCUAAUGAGCAAUCUGGACCAUCUGAAUAUUAUAUUCCUCUUCGCAGUACAGACGUGUUACUUUGUGCAACUCUUAUCAUUUCUGGUUUAUAAAAAAAAAAAAAAAAGUCUGUGUUUUAGUUUGAGAAAGGUGUGAGUGAUGAGGAGACGAUAUGAGUGACGUGAUCCUCUGCCACCUGUCUUUCACAGCCUCUUCAUCAUCAUCGGUUGAAAAGGAAGCAACAACCAGAGAGCUCCUGUCCUGUCCUGCUGGUAAGAAUAUCACACAUUAUCUCUGAUUUUAAGUGUUGCUGAAAAAGUGUGAAUUCAUGUAUCGAGUGGAAAAGUUAACCCUGGCAGCAGAAACUCGGCUCUUUUCUUCCACUCAGAGGGUUUUUCGUUAAUUUGAGAGAUUAGUUGGUGAGAGUUUGUGCAGGGGGAGAGAAUUUGACAAACUUUUCCUCCGUUCCUCGGUGUCACUACAGCAGAUCAAACCCUCCCUGUAGCUGUGAUUUAAAAAUAACCGAGCUCAGUACAGUAGCCAUGUGCACAUGAAACAUUUGACUUAAUGUAAACCCAAAAAAUAACAAUCAGGCUGCGUGAUUCACACACACAUCGAGCGUGUUCAGCCCACACACUCCCACGUGUUUCCCCUUCCUCUGCUGCCUCAGAUGUGAGGCACAUGACAUCAUUAAAGAGGUGCUCUAAAAUCAGUGUGGGUACUGCGUGUGCGUAGGCAGAGAGUGUGCGUGUGUGUGUGUGUGUUGUUUCUGUGUGGGUGCAGGAAUGAAAGCCAAAGCUCCAGAGCCGUGGGCCCGGUGCUGGCUGCCUGUGUGUGCCCAGCCGGAGGCUCUGGUCCUGGGCUGCGCUGCCUCCCACGCUGGGGUUCGGUCGGGGCUCUGAGUGGGAGGAGGAGUGGGAGGAGGAGUGGGCCGGGGCUGUGAGUCAGCCUGCUGCAAAGCCCCCAGACGGGAGACCGCUGAGGGAAGAAACACACCACCACACAAGAGUCUCCUCUCCCUGCCGGCCUUCGCAGAAACGUUAAAGUUUCUAAUGAGGAGGAUCAGACGGGGGGGACGGAAACACUCUGCAUCAGCUCAUCUCUGAAUGAGUUUUCUGCAGACACGUUUGUAAACACAAAAUAGACUUAAGGAGUUUUUUACUUCUUAGUUUGUUUUGUUUUGAGAUGAUCCAGGUUUAGUUUCUAUAAAUGUCAGAGCUGUUGCUAUAAGACAGUCAUUUUGCGUUCGGCAGCUCUGUGAUUCCUCAUGAUUACUCUUGCAUGUUUGACAUCCAAAUGUGCAACUACAGCAAAAACUGCUUUCUCCAUCUGUGCCUGUGUGCCCCUUAAAUGAAGGAGCUGUACAUCAGUUUACUCACGAAAUGGCAUAGAUAUAUUCUACAUUUGUGGAUGCACAUACAUGAACUUUGGGGAAUGACCGAAAGAACGAGAUCGUGGAUACAAGUGGCCGAAAUGGGUUUCCUCCUUGGAGAUAGGGUAAGGAGCUCAGACACUCGGGAGGCGCUCAGAGUAGAACCGUAGGAGUCAGCUGAGGUGGCUCGGGCAUCUGGUUAGGACGCCUUCUGGACGCCUCCCGUUAGAGGUGUUCCAGACAUGUCCCACCGGGUGGAGACCUCGUGGCCGGCCCAGGACCAGAUGGAGGGAUUAUAUCUCUCACCUGGCCUGGGAGCGCCUGGGAAUCCCCCCGGAGGAGCUGGUGGAAGGGGUUGGGGUGAGGGCUGUUUGGGCUUCCCUCCUGAAGCUGCUGCCGGGAGCUGAGAAUGACGUCACUAGUUACCUGAGUGACCAGUGUUUCAGUUACGGAGUCGGAAAAAAGCAAAAACUGAGGCAGAAACAAGAUGGCUACAUCUACGAAAGUUAUUUCAGCGCUUGCCUCGGAUAUUCGGAUAGGGCAAUCGCUAAAAUAACUUUCGUAGAUGUAGGUAUCUUGUUUCUCCGAUGGAUUUUCAUUUUUUCCAACUCGGUAAAUGAAACAAUGGUAACUCGGGUGUGACGUCAUUUUCAGCUCCGACAUCUGACCUCCGAGGUAACUUGAAUGCAGCGGACAUCAGCUACCCUGCUGAAACUGGGUUUUUGGGGUCAACUAAAGUCUUAUUUUAGUUUUCUUUCUUUUUCUUCUAUAAGAUGAGAUUACUAAGCGUAUACUCCACUUGCAUCUGCCCCAAACCAAUAGUGCUGUACCUGCUCGGUUCAGUGAAUACACUCCCAGUGAGUCUGAUCAUGAGAGGAAGAUUUCAACGUCUAUAACGUUUUUAGAAAAGUUGAAGACAGAUUUGUUUUUAAAGCUGUCAUGACAUUUCUGAUUUGUGCUGCUGGGUUUAAAAAUCAGAUGUUAAUUGAUGAGGGUCGUUAAAAUCCCAUUUCAGCAAAUUGUUAAACUCCAUCCUGAGAGGUGGAGGUCAGGUGGAGGGCCGCGGUGACCCGGUGAUCUCAGCAGCGUUUUGUCGCUCUGAUAAUGGAAGGUGGUUCUCCAGGAAACUCAGAGGGAGUCCACCAGUCUGGUACAAGGGGGGGUAGCUGGAGCCAGGCCGGGGCGUGGAGCAGAGCGGUGCAGCGGAGGAUAGGGUGGGUGGGUGGGAAAUGCAUUGGCGUGUGGAAGCGAGGAGGAGGUGGAAGAGUGGGAGGAGGAGGAGGAGGGACGGGCGUUAAAAGAGGCAGGCGAGGAGCGUGAGGGAAGGACGGGGAAGUGAGAACAGGAAACGCUGGUCGGAGUGGAAUGUUUCACAAGAAGGCUUCUCCGCCCUGCGAGCGUCAGGACGAGGGCGUCUGCUGCUCAGACAGCCACCAGCCAUCCUCACACACACACACACACGUACACACACACACACACAUUCUCCACAGUGUGACCCCUCACCGCUUUGGCAGGGUUAGCUUUUAUAUCCUGUGAGCAGAGGAGUCACUGCCUGGACUGAGCAGCUCUGUGUGACUGCAGGACAGAGAGAGAGAGAGAGAGAGAGAGAGAGAGAGAGAGAGAGAGAGAGAGAGAGAGAGAGGGGUGUACUGGAGCUGGUUUUCCUCUGACACCUCUGAAGGGAAGAGGAAGAGGAAAGGGGGAGGAUGAAGAGGAAAGGAGGAGCAGAGAGGAGAGGGACUCACAGGGCAGGGAUGAUGGGGUGGAGUGCUGCACCGCUGGGGUCCUUUAAAGGAGUCACUGCGUGUUUACUGGAAAUACAAAAGCAACAUUUGUAGCAUCACAGCCAGGUUAUAAAUUUUAAUGUGCGUUUGCUCGUUAAUAUGGAAGAUGCCGAAAAAAAGGCUGUUUUAGCAGUUCUGCUGGCGUGCAUCUCCACCUGUAGUUCUAAACAUUUCAAGUAGCUGUUCAAAAAGUACAGAUUUUUAUGUUAAUGGUUAGAUUUUCUGUUUUGAUUUUUGGACGGGAAUAUCCCAAUUGGUAACGGAAAAGUCUUUCCUUUGCAUUUAAUGGAAGGCCAUGUUCAAAUCAGAGCUGGAGUUUUAAUUUUAGUUAUGAUUUUAGCUCCUCACAAUCAUAAAAAACUGCUUAUCACGACUGUAUGAUAUUGUGCAGCCCACUUUGUCUUGCUCGUUUUGCCUUUUAUAGUGAAUCAGGUGCUUUUUGUCCUUAAAGGGAUAUUCCAGCGCAAAGUUAAUUUAGGGUCAAACACACUGUAACACCGAGUUACACAACCCCUCGAGAGAUGAAUGUUGUUGACCGCUUGCUUCUCUAGUUAUACCAACUUUAGUCAUGACCGCACGAUAGCAAUACACAGUGGUCUGAGUAGCCACACACAAACCUCAACCAAACGCCACUCUAUAACCAAAAAUAAUGCUCAGAACAGCACCUAACUUCAUCAACAGUACAUAUAGGGUCCCAGCCAUAGUACUAGCCACCAAACAGCUUUUUAACUUUGCCUAAUUUCUUUCAUAAAGAGACUAAACACAACUCACCUACUCUAUUCCAGCAGCCGCUUGUUUGUAGCAAGACCUCAGGUAAAUCCAUUACGGACUGUUGCGGGGGGAAGAACAUUUAUGAUCAUUUCUUCGUGGAAAUGUAAUCAGACCAAGACGCUGCAAAAUGAUUAAUAUGGUGAUUAUUGCGUCAAGGAAAUGAUAAAGAAAUGAUCAUAAAUGUUUUUCCUUGAGCUGUGUCACCCCGCUGUAGUCCGUAAUGGACUGGCCCGAGGUCUUGCUACAAACAAGCGGCUGCUGGAAGAGAGUAGGUGAGUUGUGUUUAGUCUCUUCGCUAAAGAAAUUAGGCAAAGUUAAAAAGAUGUUUGGUGACUAGUGCUGUGGCUGGGACCCUAUAUGUAAUGUUGAUGAAGUUAGGUGCUGUUCUGAGUAUUAUAUGCGGCUAUAAAGUGGCGUUUUGGUUGAAGUUUGUUUAUGGCUCCUCAGACCGCUGUGUAUUGCUAUCGUGCGGUCGUUACUAAAGUUGGUAUAACUAGAGAAGCAAGGGAUCGGCAACAUUCAUCUCUCUAACUGGGGCUGUCUAACUCUGUGUUACGGUGUGUUUGACCCUAAAUUAAUUUUACGCUGGAAUAUCCCUUUAAAAACAGAGUGUGUUCUCAGCCCUUCCCCUAAAACGGGUCUUACUUUCAGUCCAUCGUCAUGAGGUCAGAUCGAUGUGCAUCAAAGUUUGAACUCUCAAGGGAGUUGCAGACUUAAUAACAGACUGCUGUAUCUUCAGUGAGUUGUGCUGCAGCUGCAAGUGGACAGAGGAGAGCAGGAGUUGCUCAUGUGUGUAUGUGUAUGUCUGAAAAGUCAAAAACAGAAACAAAACAGAGAAAUGGUUCUGAAGAUAUAAACAUUCAAGUAAAGGCGAAGAAUGUGGCGCAUGUCCACAAAUCAAAUAUGUGAAGUCUGAAAUAUAAAGAUCAUGGCGACAUACACAAAUAGAGGCUGUAAUUUAUGUAAGAAAUGUUCUGAAUUUAUCUAAAAUGGGAGGUAUAACGUCACAUAUCUUGACCCCAUAGUUUAACCAUUGCAUCACGUUUAAAGUAUUUGUGUGUGAUGUAAUCAGAGACACUUGCAUAAGUGAUGGAAAAUUCAAACAGCACCUAAACGCAUCACUGCUCCAGCUGCUCUGGAUGUCUCAGCAGGCUCAGAGGUGCCGAGGUAUCCCUGAGAGUGUGUAUGUGGAUUUGUGUGUGUGUGUGUGUGUGUGGAUUUGUGUGUGCAUAUUACCCUGUGAUAACCCUUAGUCUCACACACACACACACACUCGUACUGACACGGUGGUUCACACGUUACUGCAGGGCAUUGGAGAGAGAUAAGACACAGAGUCAUGCCUCCCCAGCGUGACAGUGACAUCACAGUUGUAUCUGUGUGUUCACUACCCCAGCACACACACACAUACACACACACACACCUCCCCCUGUGUGCUAGAAAGAGACCAGCCUAAUAUAGUCAGCAUGGAUCACACACACACACUUAGACACACUUCCUCACAGGGCCAGAAGCAAAGGGGAUAAGGUGGGGGGAUCCGCCUGUCAUAUUUCCAUCUCCUGUCCUUGGUUGGUUAUAAGCAUGUGUUCCUCCAGAGCCGAGUGUGUGUGUGUGUGUGUGUGUGUGUGCGUAUGUGGGUGUGUGUGAAUGGGAUGACGUCGCUGUUACGUCUGUUGGUGUCCAUCACUGGCUCAGAGUCCAGUCUUGGCAGAGACAGGUGCAUCCAUGGCUGCCUGUGUGUGUAUGUGCGUGCGUACGGGUUGGUUUUUGUAGCCUAUUUGGGACAUGUCCAGUGUUGGACUUUGCUGGGACUAAUUGUCCUCUAGGGGACCCACUCUGUCCUGGAAAGGCUUUCUCUGAUGUUCUGGCCCUGCUUCCUGUUUAAAGAUAUUGUGUGUAUAAGUCGGUGUGUUGCUGUAUCAGAUGGUUUUUGUUAACUUAUCGUCUCAGAGCUCUGCUUGUGGGGAUCUCGAACCUGUUUUUGGUGCAUCACAGGGACCAUUUCUAAAACAAAAACCCUUCGUAUGGGGACCACUACUUUUUGUAGUGACACACUUGUUAUAAAUGCUGCAAAAAGUUGUUUCUGAUGUUUUUGUUUCACCACCUAGUUUGUGUGUGUAUGUGGAAUCAUUUUUGUUACGUCACAGGGACCUUUUCUCAUAUAAAAGCCUUAUUUAUGGGGACUACUUUGUCUUGUAAUCACACAUCUGUUACAAACACUGCUAAGUGUAAAUCUCAUUUUGUUUUGUGUGUGUGUUUAUGUUUAUUAGAUUGUUCCUGCUGCCUUAUGGGGACCUUGACAAAUAUCAAAACACUACUUGUGGGGACCACUAUUUCUUUAGGACACAAGUUGGCUGCAAUUGCCUCAGAAUGUUAAAUUUGACGUUCCCAUGUUGCCUUAUUUUCGUCGAGUGUGUGUGUGUGUGUGUGUGUGUGUGUGUGUGUGUGUGUGUGUGUGUGUGUGUGUGUUUCUUUUGGUUGUUUUUAUGAACUUAUAAGGACCACUUUUUUUUUUAGGGACAACUUGUUACAAAAGUCUUUGCUGAUAUCUCAAUUUUGCUUCAUUUUGUUAGCCCGCAUGCUAACUUUGUGAGUUUAAUGUAUAUGUUUGUGAGAGUGCUUUGCUUGCAUCAGGGAGGCUUUGUUCAACAUUAAAACUCCACUAAUAGGAACCGCUGAAGUUAAAUCUGGCAAGCAAUAUGUGAUCAAUGUCAUGUUGUGUAGCAGCCAUUGCUGUGUUAGGGACUCCCUGAUGUUAGACAGCUACUGAUGAAGAUACCUUGUUGAAAAGAUCUAAACACAUUUUUAGAGUUAUUCAAUUAGAUAGCUUUCAGAGAGAUUGAGAAAAGAAAAGGCCUGACCUGCCCUAUAUUUUUGCCCAAAUGCCAGGUAAAUGCAUUCUUAAUCUACCUUGCUAGUCUCAUGAACCUGUUAACAACUGUGUCUAUCAUCACAGACUAGUUGCACCAGCAAAUAUAUUUUUUAUGUUAUUUUUUAUUUAGCUUAUACAUUUUUAAAUCAUUCAGUUGCUACCACAACUGAGUAAUUUUAACAAAGCUAAGCUUGUCAACAAACUCGCCAGCUGGUAAAAUAACGCGAUACAAGAUUGUUUCAUCAAUUUUCUGGUGAUCAAAAAUAAAUUGAAAUCAACAGGUCACUUAGUAAUUGGCUUUUUUUGUUGUGCAAAGUUAACAAGGUUCUUUUAAUUGCUACCAACACUGUUGUCACAAAUAAAACUGUACAAAAAGUAAACACUAAUCACUCCUGAGCGCAAAGUACGUUCAAAACACUGAGAUUUUGAAGUAGGUGCCACUGCAGCAAAGCUUGUAACAUUGGUUUAUAGUGGUGAAUCUGUCACAUAUGCUUAAAAAAGUCAUUUGUUCAGGUCCUGCUUUUUGGUAUUUAAGUGUAGGAUGUGUUUUGUCUCAUAAAGACGCUUACAUCCAUGCAGAAACAUUGUAUAUGUACAGAAUUAUGGUCCUUACGGGGACCUGCCCACUACAAUCAGUAACAGUGAAAUUUACACAAACACCCCCGCUGGCUGUCCUUUACAUUCUUUCUCUUUCCUGUUUGAAUUCUUCGACUUUAUCUCUUCAGAUUCUUCUCCUCUCUCUCUCUCUCUCUCUCUCUCUCUCUCUCUCUCUCUCUCUGUCACUAGCAGCUCUGGUCAGCCAUUAAACUCCCUCUUAAGCCAAACCAGCAGAAUUCCCAGGCUGCUCGGCUGCCCGGGUUCACACCUUUUUGUCCACAGGAAUCUCAGGAAUCCCCAGCUUCCUUUUCCACCGCAAUCUCCAUUGUGUGUGUGUGUGUGUGUGUGUAAAGCUAUAAGAAGCAAAGGCCCCCGCCUGUGUUGUGUGUGUGUGUGUGUGUGUGUGUGUGUGUGUGUGUGUGUGUGUGUGUGUGUGUGUGUGUGUGUGUGUGUGAAAACACAUCUCCGCCCUUGUACCCACCCAGUUUGUGUCCACAAUAGUGUGAGUCACACUCAAAAACGACAAAAAACUCUCUGUUACUGUGAAACUUUACACUCUCAGACAAACUUGAGUGGACAUUUAGGGUCACAGUGAAAUUGAAGAACACAGAUUUUGUAAAUGAACUUUUGAGUCAGUAAAUACAAACAUAUACAUAUAUAUAUUUUACGUUGACACCAUGUUUUUCUUAUAACAGGCAAAAGUUUCGGGAGGUAACAUUAGCUUGUUAGUACAGGCAUUAAAAGCGUGGGAUACAUCUUAACAAAGAAAUCCAUUAGAGGGAUUUGAGUGAAUGAAAUGGGAUUAGUUUUAUAAAAAUACAAUAUAGAAAUAUUUUUAAAACUGUCAAUGACAAACGGAGUAAUGUGAUCCUGAAAAAUUGUGUUUGCGUGAAAAAAAAAUGACACUUGUAUUACAAAAAUAAGCAUAAAAUGAGGCGUUUAUAGAAUAUGAACAUAUCAAUUAAAAUGAUGAAAGCUUAAUUGUCACUUUUGAUGGAUUUUAACUUGCAGCAGAAAGUGUUAAGGUUCAAUUAAUGAGGAAUACAAAUACGUACAAACUCUGACAUUUUUGUUAUGACAAUAAAUAUUUGAGAGUCAGUUUUUGAAAGUCAUAGUUAUGCUACAUCCAGCUCACUAGCAGCUACUGCUUCUUCAUCAUCUUAACUAUGUCUAAUGAUGUGGCAACCAGCAUGAAGGAGAGAGAGACAAUAUCAUAGUAGAGUGAUAUGAUAUGAUAUAGAACAAAACCCAUGGUCUAAGAUGAUGAUAACACCAAUCACACAAUGAUACAUCACAAAAUCUGAUGAGCCUGAUAACAAAACAUGUCCGAAAAAAAUGAAGUUCACGUUUAAUGCCGUUUGCGUCACCAUGACAAGUCAUAAAGUUAGAUGAAGUGAGUCAUUCCAACAUCUACACAAAGAUGUAUUGUUUUUAAAGUGUCCAUAUUUGACUUCAGUGAUACACAGACUAUAUAUUUUUCUUUCCCUUAUUUUCUGGUCUAAAAUUUGUAAAGGCAAUCCUGCAGCCCUGUUUUCUUAACAUGAAAUUACCCUCAUUGUCAAGCAAAAUAUAUGAAUCUUAGUUCCAGUGAGUCAUUGUUCCUGGCUAAGAGAGAGCAGCUGAGUAAAAAGAAUAAUCUGUCUGAUUUUGGCAGGGAGGAGUCAAAUGAACCAAAAUAGCUCCAGACAAAAAAUUAUUUGUUUUCAGAGUUCUCACAGAGAAACCUCUAAUGAGAGGUGAUACUACGCCCAUCCAGACAAGAGUCAGUGCUCUUACAGUGUGACGCCUGCAGGUUAACACUGCCGUUUGUCCGCACGUCUGGAGUCGUUUACCCUCGCCAGCCCUGACUCAUCCCCCACCGGAGCCCAGCCUGCUGUCGGGGCUCAGCAGCACCCAUUCAACACGAUGAGAAACAUUCAGAAAAACCAAACACCAACCGGACACACGACAGGCUGUGAUUCACACACACCCACUCAAUCUCCAUCCACACAUAAGCAGCCACAGAGGCGUACAGGUCCAUGUCUGAAAUGUUGUUGAAGAGGCCAGCCAGGAGGUGAUCUAAGACAGAGGUUUAAACAUAACAUCAGGAGGAAAGGGAUGGUUCUCAAAGUGAGAAACAAAAACAAAACAAAUAUCUGCUGCAAGUUUGGGACUUUCUCUUAUCUUUCUCAGGGGAAACACAAGUCAGUUUUUUAUUUACCCUUAUAACAACUAUCCAAACAAUCUAAUUGAAGUUGUUGUGAAAAUUUGCUUAAAACUUUUAUGACUUUUAGGCGUUUUAUGACAUGUAACCUUUAACAGACAGAUCUCACAAAAAGCUCAUAUAAAACAUAAAUGGGGAGAAAUACAACAGCUAAAAAGAAAGAGAAUUAAAAGGAAAAUACUCAUUAAAAGUUGCAUCAUAGUAAAAAAAAUUACCUCACUUUGAAAAUUUGUCUGAAACUACGAGGGUGAUGUAUUACUCAAGUAAAACAUUAGCAAAGAAAAGGGCGUUUUUCACUGUAAAGUAGGUCGUUGUAUAAAAAAUACUUUCUAUUUCACAAGUAGAGAAUACAAAGUAAAAUGUAUAACACUGAAAUGAAAAUGAAAGUAAGAGAUUUUCAAAGGAUUAAUAGAUAUUUAAAAGCUUCGAUGAAAAAGAAAAGAGGACUUCGAUGAAAAAAUUGAGCAUAAGAUAAAAGGUAAAGAAAUGAACAAGCAUGGAAAAUUAAGAUGUUAAAAUUCAAGAAAAAGAAGUCUGAAAAGUCAUGAAAAGAAAUUUAUAGUUGGCCGAUAUCAGUUUUAAUGGUUGGUGCCAAUAAUGAAAGAGCAGAUCAGCUGGUGUCUGAUAUAUUCUAUAUCACAUUGUUGUUGUUGUUGUUUUCCAUUUCCAACAAUUUAAUAAGUCUAACAAAUAGUAAACAAAAUCAUAGUUACAUUACAGUAUCUGUUAUUGAUGUGAUAUGAUGUGAUUUGAGAAAGAAAAUUAUCAUUUUGAAAAGAUUAUUGUUCCAUUGGUCUUGUAGUGUUGUUACUUCAAAAUGUUAUUAAUCAUACUAAUUAAUUAGCAGACUAAUUGAUCAGUCCAUCUCUAUUGUGUGUUUCAGUAUCAUCAGCAUGUAUCAGUAUGUUGCAAUCAGAAAUAAUUAGUGGGAGGUUGUCAAUGAAAACUGAAAAAAAGAAGUGGUUUUAAGGUGGAGACAUGAGGCACACCCCUCAGAUAAGCUAAUCAGAUUUUUGACUUUUCACAACAACACUUUGCUUUCUGUUGUGUAAAUAAGAAUCAAAUCAUGGCAAUGCAUGCUGGGAAAAAUGUAUAGUGCAAAGUUUGUCCAAAAGUAGAUAUUGGGCCACCAUCUGAAACAUGAACAACCCUCUGCUUUGUCUCCAAAAGUAUUAACCCAACUGUUUUGAGCAGCACAACAACUGCAGUGAGAGUCACUCCUUGUUUAGAUAUUGCUUCAUAUUCAGGCGCCUAAAACAUCGUCAACCUCUGACCCACAGAGAUUGUCUCGUAGGGUUAACAAUAUAGAAUCAAAGGGAGUCUGCAGUAUUUAGGUCGAAUAUUACUCAACCCUGUUCGUUACAUGACUCACUGAAGUUAUUUAAAUAGUUAUGAAUGGAGCCUGACAAAGCCGCUCCUCCCCUUGUAUGUGUGUGCAUGUUUGCACACCACAAUGUGUGUAACGGGAGCGUAGCAUGGGUGCAGCCCGGCUUUUGAUGAGUCACAUGUGGAUCCUCUGUGAGUAACUAACCAGCUAUGUGAGUCCUGAAGUUUCAGACCCACACAGAAAACCCCUGGUCUCAGAGGGAGGGGGAGGGGCAGGGCAGGGUGGGGCGGCUCUGGACUGUUGAUGGGUGUGGUCUGCAGGAGUGGUGAGGCAGAGAAUAGAUGUGGGGUAAAAUAGCAGGAUGUAGGUGAGGACCGGGAUCUGUGAGUGGAAGGUGGAGGACGGGAUGGUGAGGGCAGAGUAAGGUCAGGAUUAGGGGAAAGAGGUCAUCGCUCAGGGUCAAAAAAUGGUAAUGACUACAUUUUACCUCACCCUGUUAUCUCCCUCUAAAUCUGUUUUUUAAUUUGAGGAGUUUUGUGUCUGUACACUCAGGUACUUUCUUUGAAUAACUCUGGUCACUGCAGAAUAACAUGUUUAUCAGCUUCUGCAUAUCAGUCAGUUUUGGUAAAUUUUGGUACUUUCUCUUUCUGUGGUCACACUCAGCUCUCUGACUCCAGAGGUGUCAAAAGUCCAAACUUUCUUUACCUAUAAACAAAAACAAACUUUUACACAAAAACACAGUGGCAAAAAAGGUACUGUUUAACUUUUGGUUCAACAAAACUCACUGAUAAUGAAUUUGUCAAAGUAACUUUGCAAGUCUGAUAUUGUUUCUAACACUUACCUAAACAUAGAAGGACAUAUAAGUAAUUUUAAAAGUAUUAUAGCCAAGCCUAACAAAACUACAGCUAGAUAUUGAUUCGAGAUUAUCACCUGCAUAAAAAUGUUGAGGUUAGCAUUAAGAAUUGACAAAUGUAUAAUUUUAAAGGUUUAGAUGGUUUAAAAAAAAAGGAAUUCAUUCUUUUGUUUUUUCAAGAAACUUAAAUUUGAUACUGGGAGUUUGGGGUUAAAAGUUAAGAGAAAAACACCAGAAUAUCUACCAAAAUAAAAAUAAAAAAAUUGCAAGUAGCCGCUUUUAAGUAAAGUGCAAUACAAAUACAAUAAUAAACAAUACAAAAGACACAUUACAUGACAAUAUAAGAUGACACAAAACAAUUCAUAAAUAUAUAGUAAAAUAAAAUAAAUCUCAAGAAAAAACAUUGCCUUUAGAUACAAAUCAAAAUAAAAUAACACACCGUAAUGAAAAAAGGUGAUACAGAGUGAUUCCAAAUCAAAACAAAACAUUUCAAAAGGAUACUAAACAACACAAAAUGAUAUAAUAUUAUACAAUUACAAAAUUAACAGUACAAUCAAAAGUAAUAUAAAAUGAUGCAUCAUAUUAAUAUACGAUAUAACGUUAAACACAUAAUAUCAUGUAGUUCAAUGCAAGCCAGUACAAAACAAUAUAGUUGAAAUGAUAUAUUUAAAUUUACAUUACAAUACAAUUUAUCUAUUUAUGUAAUAUGAGAAUUAUGCCGAUUGGCAUGGCAUUAUAUCUUAACAAUAAUUAUAACAAACUAAAUGCACAAGAGUUUAAAGCACGGUAAAACUGCAUAUAUAAUUGUUGUGUGUGUGUGUGUAUGAAUAUAUAUAAAUAAAUAAAUAAAUAAAUAUAUAUAUAUAUGUGUGUGUGUGUGUGUGUAUAUAUAUAUAUAUAUAUAUAUAUAUAUAUAUAUAUAUAUAUAUAUAUAUAUAUUUGUAUAAUUUUGCUGUAAAGUGAUAAAUGUAAACAAAUAUAAUGGAAUUCAUGAAAAAUUUGUCAAGUAUAAAAAUGAGGGUCAGUGUUCAGACUUUUUGGUUACUCAGCCCCCUCCUUGACAGCAUCCUACUCUUUUAUCAUGAUUAUAAAUGCAGUAUUCCUGUAAACCAGUGCAAAAAAUGCAUGAUGUUAGUUCCUACAUUUAGUGGGUAUUUGUGCAUCUGGUUCUGGACAACAACAUAAUGUAUAUUAAGAGAGAAGGCUGGGACUUAAUUAUAGCUUAGUUUGGACUGAAAACGAAAUAUGAAACAGGACUACUUUAGCUUUUAUCUUUUGCAGGUGAUUUUCUGAAACAAGCAUAAGAUGCUCUUAUAUAUUUAUUUGUGUGGGGUGUGUAAACUAUGUGUGUGUCAGUGUGUGUGUGCUGCCAGUGGGGCUGGAAGUCAUAAAGCACCCUCUACUGUGGCCGCUGUGUGUGUUUUCAGUGUGGGGGGGCGGCCGUCCCUGCCUCCUUUCCCUUUUUUAAGAAGCUGGGACCCUUUUUUCUACAGACGCCCCGACUCUCUGGCCAGGGGGAGUUUCCUGCUUUUGAAGACACACACACACACGCUCAGAGAGAGAGAGAGAGAGGGAGGCUGCCCUUACUUUUUCCUCCUCCUCCUCUCCCCCUCCCUCUCUCCUCCUCUCUUUUUCUGAAUGGAUGUCCUCUCUCUAACCUCAAUUGAGCGCUGUGUAACAGGACACUGCCCUCUGCCGCAACAGGCUCAGCCCCCUCUUUAACACUAUAAGAGAGUGCGGCGGCGCUCCCGAGAGCGUGUGUGAGGGAAAGUAUGUCCGACAGUGUCAGUCUGAGGGAGAGAAGGAGGGAGGGAGGGUGAGGGAAAAAGAGAGAGAGAGAGAGAGAGAAACAUGUGAUAGCGUAACUUUGGCGGGGCUUGUUGGGAGUUUAACGGCUGUGGUGUCUCCAGAGCUCUGGGAAAGCACCUUUAGCCCAGAGGGAGCCUCACACACACUCACACACACACACACUCAGACACACACUCAGCCUCUGUCAGUGUGUGUGUGUGAGAAACUGUGUGUGUUUAGAGCUGCUGUUACUGAUUACACUCUGAAGAAUGCAGCAGCAGGAGGAGGAAAAAGAGAGGAGAGACAUGAAAAGAUGAGAUCUUUUAGGAUUUUUUUUUUUGCGUGUGACUUGCUCUCCCAGCCGUGGACAGUGACGUGGGUGAGAAGUUGUUACCCAAUCGCGUCUCUCCCCUUUUCUCUCUCCCUUUUUUUCACUCAAGCAAAGUUAAAGAGAGAGGGGAAGCCGAAGGGAAAGGACACCCAGCAAAGUCAGACCGGUGAGCGUGAGGAGGGGGGGAUCCCUCAUUCCUGAGCCGGGAGGAAACUCACCCAGACGGGUAAGUAAAGAGGAAAAAAAGGGAGAGAGUGUGUGAUAGAGGGGGGCAAUGCUCCCAGAGAGUUGAUGGAUAUCAUAUGUUAGAUGUUAAAGCUUAGGAAACUGCUCCCAGAUCAGUUUGGGAGCAGGAAACGCAGUCAGCUGAGCGUGUUUGUGAAAGUUUGAGCGUCAGGAUGAUCUUUACUCCAUGAGCCGGUGGGUGUCACGCUGUGGGAGUUUGGGGUAGCGUUACCUCACAGAAGAGCUGAUUCACUGUUACAUAGCCGGCUUGUGUGUGUGUGUGUGUGUGUGGAUCACACACUCUUUGAGGGGCUUAUUACAGUUCAAGGAUUAACUGAGAGGAACAAUGUAUGCUAUCUGUGCGUAAAAAUAGGUCUAAUCUGCAGUUUUUUUCUUCACUUCCUCCCUGUCACGCUGUUUUCUCCCCCCCCCCCUCUCGUGCUCUGACACAGAUAGCACAGUCCACUCUUGCAGCUCAGCAGCAGAGGGCAUGAAUGAACGGGGUGGAGGGUGAGGGAGGUGAUGAGGAAGGAGGAAGGAGAGGGGGGUGGAUGCAUGUAGUAUCAUACAGCACGGACAGCGCAGUGUGGCUUCUUUAUGAAUGGACGUGGCAGCCGCGUGAUGUGAUUGGCUGAGAGCAGAGUGACGAGUCAUGACUGCAAGAGCCCGAGUGUGUGGAUUCAUUUUAAAGAGAGCGUGUGUGUGUGUGUUUCAGGGGGGAAAAUGUGUGUGUUAGUGGGACACAGAGAGAGUGUUUUUGUGUGAUUCAGUCCUGGUGGUUCUGGGUUACAUGUGUUUGUCUAAAGGGGGCUUAGUCACUGGCUCAACAGUGGGGUGUGUGUCUUAAAAUCUGGACUUUUAAAAGCGGUGGCGGUCUGCCCGGCUGUUGUUCCUCUUCAGAUGAGCUCCCACUCGCUCCCACUCGCUCUGACUAAGACCACGCUCGCUCCAGCUCUCAUUACUCUUACUCACUUGUCAUGUAAUCAGAGGGCAGGUCUCCAGACUUCAUGCAGUAAUAUCACUGCUGAAUCACUCGCUGAACUCGUGAAACUGUAAUGUCUUCUGCGUGACAUUUACUUUUUUGGAUUUCCGUUCAAUAAUUUAAGGGAAAAGUGGACACCAAAAUUAUCUGUAAUCACCUCUAACUCUCAAAGAGAUCCAGGGACUGAGUGUGUCAAAGUACAAGUGUGUAUAUCACCAGUAAUAGUCACUUAUUACAAAUAAUAAAACACAUGCGAAACUUUUUUAUGCAAUAAUAAAGUAAAACAGAAAUUAAUUUUUGUUACUAAAUCAUGAAAAACAAGUGAUUCAUCCAUUCAGAAAUGAUGCCAAGUGCUUCUCUGGUGAGAUCUGAUGUUUGAAGAAUGAAUGAAAAUUAAGUUAUUUUUCUCUCAUUUCUCAUUUCUCUGAACUGAUUAGUCACUGCAUGACUUUUUAAUUUUUGCAUGUCGCAUUAUUUACUUUGCACAUGUAAACACCUGAGUUAGAGAAUGACAGUUUGCAACUUUUAUAGCAGCUUAUUUGAUGGUUCAAGUCAUGAAACUGAAUUAAAAAAAAACAUUAAAAGUUCAUAGAAGAAUGAGUUUUCCACCUCUCUCUUUUCUUUAUCUUCCAUACUUACUGAGGGUAUUUUAAGUGUUUUUAGUUGGGUUGUAUUUAAGAGAGGUUCAUUUAGGACAAGUUGCUGCAUUACUUUUUAUUUUUGAACAAGUUGAAUUAUUUGAAAUACUUUAAAGUCAAUAAUUGUGUACAUGUAAACACCUGUGUUGCAGAAUGACAGUUUGCAACUUAAAGCAACUUUUAUAGGAGCUUAUUUGAUGGUUCAAGUCAUGAAACUGAAUUUAAAAAACAAAAGUUCAUAUGAGAAUGAGUUUUCCACCUCUCUCUUUUCUUUGUCUUUAUUUACUUUUACUGUACUUACUGAGGGUAUUUUAAGGUUGUAUUUAAAAGAGGUUGUUCAGUUAGGACAAGUUGCUGCAUGACUUUUUAUUUUUGCACAAGUUGAAUUAUUUUGAAUACUUUAAAGUCAAUAAUUGUGUACAUGUAAACACCUGCAUUGCAGAAUAAGAAUUUGUGAGUUGAAUGGAACUUUUAAAGUGGAUUUUAGUAAUGUUAAAAAUUAUCAAACAGGGUAGAGUUAUUGAAAAAAAAUUAACUGAGAGUGAUAAGAUAUCUUGGCAGUCUUUUAUUGCACUUAAAGUAUUUUAACUGAUUUCAGUGGUGUUGUGAUUAAGGGAUGUUGUUAUUUAUCUAAUGUCUACUCACAUGUUGAUGCAGGACUUUUUAUUUAGAGUCAACAAUUUUGCACGUUAACAGAUAAGCAGAAAAAUGACGGUUUUCAGGUUGAAUCUUUUUUUGUAAAAGUUAAAAUUGUUGUACAGAAUGAAACACAUUUAAAGAUUUAUACAAGACUGAUCAUGUUUUAGCCGAAACAUUUUUGCCUUUACUUGGUGGGAUAGCUUCAGAGGGAAAUAAGACGCCCAGGUGGUACUUUUUAACUUUCCUUUAAGUAUUUUAAAGAUUUUAGUAGGACUGUUUUUGAGAAAGGUUGUUUUAAGUGUUUAAACGGUUUUAUUUUAAAACAACCAAAUUGAGAAACAAAUUGCCUCUUUUUUUUCAAAUUGCUGAUUCUACUACCAAGUUAAAAUCAUAAAUUAUGAACCAUAAUUACUCAGAAGUGUAGUGUGCAGUGGCAAUAUGAAAUAAAAGUCCAUCUGUCUGUUUGAAUAAGUGUUUUUGUUUUGUAAAAUUUGAAUUAUCCUUUUGCACCCUCACGCUUCUGCAGCUGCACAGAAUGGACAUAUAGUGACAUUCAUGUUUUUAUAUUGAGUGAAUUACAGUGUGAAUUGCACUGGUUGGGAGAUGAAGAAAAAGGUUGUUGUUGUGCACAAAAUAACUCGCACUGAUCAACAUUUUUGAUCAUAAAAAUUUGUCUUCAAAGGCCACUGUAGCUUCACUGAUGAAAGUGGUGAGCAAGGGAGCAUCUCACUCUCGAAGAUCACUAAAUAUUCACGUCUGUUCACUGUUUUUUAAGAGUCAUGGUAAUUUUGCAGAGUUACUGAGGUAUUUCAGUAUUUCAUUCACUUUUGUCAAAUUCUUUUUAUCAAGCUUGAACAUAUAAAAGGACUUCUUUGCGUAUUUUUCUUUGUAUAAUUCAAGUUUCAAGUCAGCUGAAGCACAGGGGUUCUGUUGCUCUCAUUAUUUCUUCUGUUUAGCACCAAAACCUCAAGAAUAAUUCCGCUUUUCUGUAAACAACUUUGCAGCAAACCUCAGUCUGUUCUGACAUCGUUACACAUGGUGGUUUGAGGGUCACGAUAAUCGUAUGGUUCCUAAAGAAGUGCAGUACUGUUUGACUCUUUUAGCAGCUCUUCCUUCACAUUUUUACAGAAAUACUGUAAAUUUUAUUGUUUCUUUUCCUGUCAAUUUUCCUGCUCACUUGCAACUACAUUUAUGUUUCUUCUUGUGUCACUAUUCUGCAUUAAAACACUGGAAAUGUUCAUGUUGUGUGAACCAGCUUCACAACAAGACUCAAACCACAGGACUCAAGACUCUUAAGAAUAUUGUAUUCUUACUAUGAUAUUGUAUUUAUGUAUAUUUAAGGCAGUCUUUAUAUCUCAUAAUUGAUCAAAGUGAAGAUUACAGUUUAAGUUUAUCUAUUUGUAUUUUAUGUCCCAAAACUAGUGAUGAUGUUAGUUCAGGCAGGCCAGGAAAACUAGUUAACCCACCUUAAACCUGGCGCUUAGCUGCUACUCUCUAUCUCAAGCUUUGGCAUUUCCUGUAUGCAUGUAGGCAGCUGUACAUGGGGGUCUUUGCUGCUGCUCUCUCUGCCUCAGGUUUUGGUUCUUCAGACCUCCAUGCUUAACACGCAUGCACAGCUGGAUCUGUUUCCUUGUUUUACUGCCACUGAAUGACAGCCGCUCCUUUAACUCCACCAAAGUUUACUGCAGUUUCACGUGGAACACUUUCUUCUUCACUGCUAGAAACUCCAGCAUAAUGGUAGUUUAUGGCUCUAGUGUGUGUCUAAAUGUGUUAGUGUGUGUCUGUGUGAGUGAGGAGUUGUGAUAAGGUGCGUAACUGUCACAUCAUAGCGCAGAGGAUCUAUCAGCUCUUAUCGGGCGGCGUUUCCGGCUGAGUUUGAGAUAGGAGGACGGAUUGGCGGUGAGAUGCAUCGCAGGUAUCUUGAUGAGGGUGGAGAUUAAAUUCCCAGGUGGAGAUUAGCUGGAAUCUGCCCCCUUGCCUUAUCAACCUGCCGACACAGAAUGAACUCUGACCCCGCAGCCUGCUUGGCAGGAAGUAGAGUUGACCUCGAUCCAGGUUCCAAUUACACUUCCGGGACAAAAAUCAUGCGUUUGUGAAACACGUGAACCAUUCCUUUAAAAUCUAAUCAUAACUAUGAGAAAGUUUACACAGGUGACAUGAGUUUAUGAAACACUUAUUUGAAAGAGUGCUUCAUUCCCUUUUUGAAGGAUCACAUUUUAUUGAAUAAGGACACAAUAACUGGAUUUUUAUGUACUUUUAAAAAUGGAGCAUUAGAAUGAAGUCGAAAACUUAUCGAGAAAAUCCAACAUCGAGCAUGAUUUCGUGAUUAUUUCCUAACUACAUUUACCCAAAAACCUACUUAAUUUUAAAUUUUUGCAAUGACUGAUGCUUUGUUUUAUUUCAUUUAAUUAAUUUUUUAAAUGCUUAUUUGUUCCUGUAGUUUAGGAACUUUUUCAGCUUACUCCCUGCGAUAGAGAACUUUUUCUAGCCUCUCAUAACUUUUCUUUCAGACUUAUCAUCGAAGUAUUUUUUAACACAAGGCAUUCUACAGAGUCUGUAUAAAGAUCGGUGGAUGAACAGAUGAUUCAGUGAGGUGGGACAGAUUACAGGGACACAAGUCACCACACUGACUGAACCUCAUUCUCUGCUCUGAAUGAAGCACACACACAGAAACACACACACUCACACACACUUGGGCUGCAGUAAGUCAGGCGUUGGGUAAAGUUUCUUAAAGUGGGUUAAGCGGCACAAGAAGGAUCUUAACCAUCACUUGACUCAUUCCUUCUUUUCUUUGCCCGACUUUCCUUUUCACAUGACUCGUCUUUGUUUAUCCAGCAACAAGUCACUCUCACAAGUCCGUCAUUCAGCGGCAGAUUGUGCAGUUAAGAGCUUAGCCGCAUAACUCAGAUGUCACAGGGCUGAAAGCAGUUUGGUUCAGCCCGUUAAUGUGUGUGCGUCCUCUGUGUGUGCGUGUGUCUGUGUACUCAGGAACACUCGUUCCAACGGUGUGCUAACCACACACACCUGGCCUGUUUCCUCCCAUGCUCAUAUAUGGGCAAAGCUUCCCCUACCUGGGCCCCACUCUGGAUUCCAAUAAGUGGCAGUAUGUGUGUGUGUGAGCGUGCGUGAAAGAGGCUGUGGAGACGGAUGCACGUCAUGGAAAACCAGGAUCAAUGGGCACGGCCGCAGAGCUGCGUUUUUAAGGUGUUCCUUUUGUUUUCCAAAGGUAAUCAGUGAACACAAUGACUCAGCCGGGCCGAGGCGGGCUGACUAUUCAGAGUGUCCGCAGCAAGACGACGUCAGAGAGAUGCAGCCGUCAUAUAACUAUUAUAGGAGAUAAUCCAAAUAUGAAGCAGGUACAAGAAACUCCCUAUAGAUCAGAUUUUAGAUCAAGAAUCCAGACAUGUCUUUGGUCAAUCAGCAGGAGCACUGAGCCAAAAGAGAUAUAGUCAACUGCUUUUGACUUUAUUUGAAAUAUUUUCUUUACCCUUCAUCCAAAGAGACUCUCUAGAGACUCCAAAAUACAUAAACUCAAAUUGUGCUGCUUGUAUUAAAGUUAAUCCAGCGAUGAAGCAGGUAGGAGAAACUUUAUUGUUAGAUAUUAGAUCAGGAAUCCAGCACUUAAUAGAAGUAAGACACACCAACAAAUAUUGAAACUUCAUUUUAAGAUUAUUUUCUGUUCUUGUUUUCUCAAGGUGAUUUUUAAAAGACCUACAAAGAUUUCUAGGGCACAGAAAGUCAGACUACAGACCUCUUUUUCAAUGUAAUCCAGCAUCAAAGCAAGCGAAACAAAAUCCCUGUGAGUCAUGUUUGAUAUUUAAAAUUCCACUCUUAAUUUCAGCUAAGCUGAGGCAUGAACUUUAAGGAAUAUUUCAACACUGAAUAUCACAAAUCCUUUGAAUUUUAACCUCAGUGACCCCCUUUAUCCCUAGAGACUUUUAAAGCAAAGUGCUUUUUGAUUGAGUCUUAAUUUUUCUUGCCUCAAAGGAAAAAUUUUUAAAACUUUACUGAAAAACUGAAUUCACGUUUUAAGAUUUUGAUGCACAAAUUCUUUCUGGAGGAUAUGUAAGAACAAGUGAAAAAAAGGUUUUAAAACACAAACACUGUGGAAAUGUAGGUGUUAUUUAAAGACACUAAAACCAAGAUCAGGUGCAUUAUAUGAAAAACGACUUUAACUUUCAAACAUUGAAAAAUACUAAUCUUUUUGUGAGUUGUUUCCUAAAAGUCUGGAUUUUCCCUACCUUAAACUUUUCAAGGCAUAUCUACGGUGGCCCUUGAGGUCAAGUGCACAACCAUUUCAUGACCACAAAAAGCAUUUCAUAGAGUUUUGAAAAACAUUCUUCACAUUUUGUGAAUUAGUUUUGCAUUUUGUUAAAUAUAUUGUCGUGUUUUGUGAAAUGUUUUCUGGUUAGUAACUUUUUGAAUUACCAUUUUUUUGUGUUUUGUAAAGCGCUUUUACUUUCUGUAAAAUAUUUUUGUUUUGUAAAUUGUUCAUGGAUUUCAUGACACAUUUUUUUGUGCUCAUGAAAUGUUUGUGAAUGUUUAACGCUUUUAAAAAGAUUUUUUAAGACCUAGUGCGCAGUUAUGUAUAUAUAUUUUAGCUAGAACUAAAACUGCAGUUAAUUAAUACCAAAAAUUAAAAAAAAUUCAACAGUCAAGCCAAUACUCAGUCAUUUUGACAGUUAAAACUUUAAAAACUAUUUUAAAGCUGUUUGAGUCUUUUUUUUUAAAACAAAAAACUCUAAAGUACAAGUUUUCAUAAAUGCCAUGAAUGUUCAGUUUUAUCUUAAAAUACAGAGAAGUUUGGCAAGUUAAUGAGUGCACAGUUUUUUGUUAAUAUGUAACUGUAUAUGUAUGCAAAUUCUUCCACAUACACUUAAUCAUUAAAAAUCUAAAGCUUAUAUAUUUCUUUGGGAUUCUCCUUUUAAAAGCUUUAAAAUCAAACUUAUUUAUCUCUAAUUUCAGGAUGGAUUAGAUUACGAUCGAUAAAAUCCUCCGAGAAAAGUUCACUUAAUAUAACUUAAAUAAUGGCAUCCGCUCAUGUCUGUUAUACCGGAGGGAUUACUUCAUCAAAAUUCAACUUCUUGAAUAUAAUUACAGAUUCUGAGAUGAUAAAAUUAACCGGCACCAAUACUUCCUCAAUUUAACUUCUGGUAUUUUAACAUCUCUUAACUCUGCAUUGGUUUUUGUCGUAAAAAUCUGUAUAAUUGAGCUAAUGCUGUGUGAAUUAUGUAAGUCUAUAAAUGAUCAUAGAUUUUUCAAGAACACUUUUUUGGGACUCUUAUCAAACCAGUGGAUCCAAAACUAUAAGAAGAAAUAUAGAAACAUGGUCAUGAUAUUCUUUAAGAGCCUGGAGACACUUCUUGUCUCCUAAAUCUGUUUGGCCUAAAGCUUGUACGAGUUACGCUCGAUCUUUAAAAGGUUUAUUUAAGAUUAUACCAUUUCUGCAAAUUUUGCAGUGCAUGCAUCCUAAAGUGAAAGGUCACAAAGAGACGAAGGACGAUACUGCGUGUAAGAGGGAAGCUUUUACUUUCUGUUGCAUGGAGAACGAAGGGUUUCUGCAUCUUUGGGUUUCAUUUAAGAUAGAUUUAUUCAGGAUCAGACCCUGUGAGAGGCUGUCUCCAGAAGGAUAAACCCUGUGACCCCACAAAGGUCAAAAGGUGAGGGAGACUCCUUCUUUCCCUCCUCUUUCUGUACUCCUCUGUUUCUCCCUCCUCUGCCGCCUCCUUUCUUCGCUUGCUGCACGUUUGCCAGGCCUUCAUAAAGCAGCUCGAGGAGGGAGUUAGCUUUCCUCGCUCGUGUUGCCAACUCUUUCCCAUCAGUCCAGCCCCCUGGAAGACUCUGCAGACUCCCCACUCUCCCUCUCUCCCUCUCUCUCCCCCGGCCUAAAGCCGAGCCUGGGGCUGGGGGACGGGGUACAGGCCGUUGUGUUCGAGGUGGGGGCUCCCUCUGGAGAAGCUCUUUGCAGGCCUGGAUUUAGUCUGCACCUCCACGACAGCCACCAAGCAACACCCAGAGGAAGCGUUUGAGAUCGGCUUACAUAUGAAGCCUGGUUCAUCUCCUGAGUUUUAAAAUGAGGAUAGAAAGAAAGUGGGAGAUGGUGGAAAAGGAGGGGGAGACACAGAAGGGGAAAGACUUUGGAGAGCGAUGAGAGGUGGCGGGGAAGACGGAGACUCCAUAACCUUGGUGUCUCUGCAGAAUCAGACACAUUGGCUUCGUCUCUUUGGUUGGACACUUUCACUCAACCGUAACGACCGAUCAGACGAACAGACCGGGCUUUAAUGGAAGCUGAAGAGCUGAGAACUGAUAUCUGAUUGGCUGUCGGCCUCGUGGAACAACUGCUUAAUUGGUGGCGAAACUGGUGGCGAGCGCUGCAUCAAGACAAGACCCUGUCUGCAAGAUGACUAACAGAUGAGAGAUCGAAAUGAUUGGUGCAGGAUUCAUGAACAAAAAUAAGGGAAGCGAUUUCUAAUGUUGGAACUUUUCAUCAGUAUCGAGGAGGGCAGGGUCCUCUGUGCAAAAGGAACAAGGACCAAAACCAACGCUGGAUGGAUCUUACGGUCAGCACUGCAUUGAAAACAGACAGGACUCUGUAGUGGAAAUCACUGAUCACUUCCAAAAACCAUCAUCUGUGUCCACAGUUCAUCACUGCAUCCACAAAUGAGGUUGAAACUGAACCAUGCAAAGAAAUAAACAGAUAUAAACAUGAUCCAGAAGCACCAGAGACUUCUCUGAGACCUGAGGAAUCAAAAUCGGACAUUCUUACUGGUAAUCAUGGUCAUUGCGUCCUCCACUCUAAAGAACAGAGGGACCAUCUGGCUUGUUAUCAGCUCACAGUCCAAAGCCAGCAUCCCUGAUGGUAUGGGGCUCAGAAGUGUCCAUGGCAUGGGAAGCUUCCACAUCUGUGAAGGAGCAACAUCUGCUGACAUCCAGACAAUGACCUUUUCAGGGAAGACCUUCAUAUUUCAGCAAGGCAGUCAGUUCAUUUACAUGACACUCGAGAAUACCGAAUUAUUGCCUUAUUCCGAUUAAGACCGAACAACUGAAGUGCACGUAAACACCUUAGUCCGACUAUAAUCGGAGUUUGAGAACUCUGAUUAAGACACCCAGAUAAUGCGAUUGGAAUUCGAUUUUCUCUACCAUGUAACCAGCGUAGACGGAGUAUGAUCGGACAAUGCAUGUGUGUACGCCACACCCUUGUAACCCCGGAACAAAAACACCAGAGAAGAGGAGUAGUGUGCAUCUCAUCUUCAGAAAAAGUAGCCCGUUCAUCAUGUACAACAAAAACGACACUGUACGAUGCUCCAUCUUCUUGCUUGGAAAUGCCCAGCAGCAGUUGUAGACACUUCUGACGUCUGGCAUGGACCUGCUGCUGUUGUUGACCGUUGUAUGGGGUCGGAUACGCGCCGCUGAAAAGACCCAUAUCACCCACAAGUUUUAGGGAGAAGGACACGUUCGCAUCAAUAAUUCGUGGACAAGGAGACAAGUCCAAUUUGGCGGAAAGAACGAAUUAUGAGCUUUGUCCGAUCAAGCUGUGCAUGUAAACGCACUGAAUGACCGACCACAUUCUGCUGGGAUUACAACAGCGUGGCUCUGUAGUAGAAAAGUCCUGCCUUAUAACUUUUUGAGCAUCAUGACACAAAAAAAAACAGGACAAAGGAGACCCUGGACCAUUAAGAACACGAGGCUUUUGUAUUUUAAUAAAUGUUAGAGUAGAUGAAUUUUCCCCAGUAUGUUAAGAACGAAAGAAAAGAUCGCUUUAGACUCUAGAUGGUGUUUCAGUGAAGGUUACAGGGACUUCAGGUCGAGGAAGGGAGUGCUGGGAAUCCUGAGGAAAGGGUGAGGAUGGGUGAUGCAGGGGGGGAGGACGGGUGAGGCCAGGCGUGCCUUCCAUUCCUGCCUGCUCGGGGUGAGGCUAUUCCUAGAGUGUGGUGGAUGGCAGUUGAUGUGGGUUUCCUCUGAGCUGCCUGGAAGAUGACUGGCCCUGACCACAUCCACAUUCACACACGCACACACGUACACACACCAGACACACAGUGACAACUGUACAGCAAACACACACAUGCAGAAACAUACACACAUUCACAUGCAUAAACACACACGUUGUAAGGAGAGGAAAGAGGAACUGAAUCAUUACGCUGCCUCAGCCUCUAAGCUGGGGGUGACCACUGUACAACUAUUUGUGUGUGUGUGUGUAUGUGUGUGUCUGCAUGUGUGUGUGUGUGUGUGUGUGUGCAAAGAUACGUUGCAUUUCUGCAGUAAAGAGACAUCAGCUCUUUGGUUGUGUGUCUGGGCUGUUUGUUGCUCAAGUAUGUGUGGGCAUGUGUGUGUGGGCGGGUGUGUAGGAUGUGUGAGCUGGGUGUGGAUGCAUUCCCUCAAUGUGUGUGUGUGUGUGUGUGUGUGUGUGUGUGUGUGUGUGUGUGUGUGUGUGUGUGUGUUUGCCUCCCUCCAUCUGUAAAGCUUAGGACUCAGUGUGUUCGGUUAUUCUCCAGAAAAAAUAAACCUGGAAAUCUUACAGUGUUCAUUAAAAUUGGCUUCCUGAAUUUUUCAAAAUCCAUAUUUUGCAUGCAAACACAUUCUGCACAAAGUCUUUGAUUCACACGCAACUGCAAACGUGACGUGCAAAGUCCUUUUGAAUCAAGACAUACAGCGUUUGCGUGAACAUAAUGAGUGACAAUUAGCUUAAAUUUCCCUGCAUGUGCUUCAUUUAGUAUUCGAGAUUGGGUUUUGGUUAUAUUUCAGUAUUUAUUUCCAUCUAUAAACCGGCAUAUGUAGAGAAGUCCUCCCUUUCUGUCCUGUAACUCACAGGCAUGUAUUUCAAAAGGCUCUGCUGGUUGGAUUCACUUGUGCAUAAACUCAAGCUGAUUGUUGCCUUCUUGAACAAAAUAGAAUAUUCAUCUUUGUGCUUUCAUCUUAUGCUCAAAAAACAGUUUUCUUGCUGAUGUUGUUGCAUAAACUUGACCAGAAAGCAUUUAGAUCCCCUUAUUUCUCUAUCCACCCUCACCUGCAUUUCUAUAGAAUCUAUGAAGGAGACUUCUCAUUUUCUAAUCACUGAUAAAUCAUCUGUAUUUCAUGUGGAAUUUAAAAAAAAAACAUAUUUUUGCAACAUAAUGGUAUUCAGAUUCACCAAAAUUAAAGCUUUAUAUCAAACCAUGUCUGAGUGGGGAUAGACUUGAGUUUGGUUUCUCAUGAGUUAUUUUUCAGUCUGUUUUAAACUCGGAUCACAAAGAGAAAAGAACGUUUUGAAUUUCCUCUGACCUCACCCUGCUAUCAUGUCGAGUCCCACUAAGCAAAGGCUUCAGUUUCGAUGGAAAAAUCAGAUGAUAAAGUGACUUCAGGUACAUCUGAGCUCUCUGGCAGCAUCACCAAAGCGUGGAAAAAAAGACAGAGAUAAGACAUGGAAGACGUUAUCAGCUUAUCUGUCGCCCUGUGAGCUUAUUCAGGCUCGCCAGUCUGGACCUGUCAAUAUCACAGUCCCUCUCGAGGUGCCGAUGACAGCUAUGACAAACAGCUGGGAAUCCUGAUUUAACCUGUAUCACGAUAACACGACAAGUUUCUGACCUCCCGUUUUCUUUCUUUAUGUUUUUCAGGUCGUCUUUUGUGCACCAGCUCUUCCACAAAUACCACCCGUGUGCUUCUAAAUCUACACCAAGCAGAGGUAAGAAGUCGUCCCUCGAUUUCUGCAGUUUUCUUUUCAUCUCUCUUCUCUGACUCCCACACCUCCACCCUCUUUGUGCAAACUGUAUUCCCUGCAGCAGAGAACAGAGCCCGAGGCAACAUCCCUUUACACCUCUUCAUAUCCCCCUUCGUUUAAAGCUUCGGCAGAGAGAGAGAAGGACUGAUGAUAACUCUUAAAGUUCACAGGUCAAAUCAGUCAAUACGCUGUCAGAGGAAAGAGGGAAAAAGCACAAGUCACACAACCUCUUCAAACCUUUUUCUCCUUUCGUUUUGUUGAUCCAAAGCUGCAUCAUGGAAGCAAACAGUGUUCCUCAGGGUUGUUAGAAAAGUAUUGAAAUUGACGCGAGUUUAAAAAAGUUCAGACAAGACAGAUGUUGAAGAAAAAUAUUUGUAUUGCAAAGCUCUUUCCACUUUUUUGAUGAGUGAAAAAGACAGAUCUUCAUUUGUGUUUCUUAUCUGCCUUUGUUAGGGGGAAACAGAUUGCGGGGCUGCAAGCUGAGCCGUUGACUGUGCACAGUGUUGGGAUUUCUCAAAUAAUUAUGUCUUUCUAAGCUUUUUCCAAAGAGCCAAAAUAUCCACAGAAGUCCUCUUCUCUCUGAGACAAAAAAAAUGAGUCAGUAAAAACCUGUUAACUACCUGAAAGAGACGGUUUACUUGAAAAUUCAGGUUUUUUUAAUGCACUUUGGUGAAGCCAGCCUGGUACAUUAACAUUAACUGCUGCUGACUUGUUUUCUAGCUAUACAAUCAGUUGAAUUAGUAAGAGAGAGUGAUUCAACAACUUUUAGUGCAUUAAGGAAAACAUUGAUUGUAAUUUUUAGUAGAAAACAAGGACUAUUUUAGCGGUAAAAUGUGAGACACGAUAGGCUGAUUUCUGAAUUUGCUGAAGUGUUGAAAUGCAUUUAAAAAACUGAUAGUCAAAGCUUUAUUCUUCACUCUUCCUUGCCAUUAAAAUCUAGUUAAACUGACAAAAUGAACAUCAGGUUUAGCCCUAGAAUAAUCAUACUCAGAUGUACUUUUUUGCCUGAACAAAACUAUUUGUUGCAUUGAAAUGUAACCCUGGAAAGGUCUGGAAUAUUGCGGUGAAAUAGGUAAAAGGUGAGAGAGAAAUAGAGACGGACAGAAAGAGCAGAGAUGGUGACAGAGAGCUGGAAUGUGAGACAGAGAGGGAGAGCGUCCAGCAGCACAUUUCCCUUAAUAAAAAGAAAUUGGAGUCAAGUGAUGAUCAGCUGGUCAGAGGACGUUUGAUCAAUACGGUCACGGGGCCUCAGGUAUGCAGAGCUCGGCGUGUGGCGUGUGACCGCAGAGAGAGGGAGAGGGAGAAGGAGGAGGGAGUCCUCCCUCUCUCACCUCCCGCUCCUCUCCUUCUGUGGUCACCUGUGCAGGUCGUCCUUUAUUGAC